GCUGGAAGUUGAAUGAAAUCUUUGCAACUGGUGUUGUUCUUGGAGGGUACCAAGCAUUGAUGACUGUUAUUUUCUUCUGGGCGAUGCAUGACACUAGUUUCUUCACGGACAAAUUUGGUGUGAAGGAUAUUAGGGAAAGUGAUGAAGAAAUGAUGUCUGCUUUGUACCUUCAAGUGAGUAUUAUCAGCCAGGCUUUGAUUUUCGUGACCCGUUCACGAAGCUGGUCCUUCGUUGAACGUCCAGGAGCUCUGUUAAUGAUUGCUUUCUUGAUUGCCCAAUUGGUUGCCACUUUAAUUGCUGUCUAUGCCGACUGGACUUUUGCAAGAGUCAAAGGAUGUGGAUGGGGAUGGGCUGGUGUCAUCUGGAUUUUCAGCAUUGUUACCUACUUCCCACUUGACAUAAUGAAAUUCGCCAUCCGUUACAUCUUAAGUGGAAAGGCUUGGAA
rnacentral:misc_RNA from 1 species